AAGAAUCUAGCACAUGAUGAAAACCACCAUGGCUGAGCAUUAUUAAUCCUCACUACUUUCACAGUGCAUAGAAAACUGAUAGCCUACAAGAGAAACAGAUACACAUCGUAAUAAAAUGCUACGGCAUACGUCAACAUUGAAACCACAUGGAAACAAAAAUGUUAGGUUACCUCGACCUCCCAGGUUUCUAAAGCUCGAAGUUCAGACACACUCCUCUGCGACAAUUGACCAGACCUAUGGUGGUCAUCGACUUGUUCAUCGAUAAUCCAAUCUAUUUUCAUGAAAUUAUCACCAAGUGUGGCAAACACAAACGAAAAUAGACACAACAUCAGCGGAUUAGGUGUAAAAUCUAAAAUAUCUAAGGGAAAACAACACAAGCAACACACACCUUUCACAGAAUUUAUCUAUUUCUGCUAUAUCUUCAUCAAGGUACCAUUUCCAAUUGGACCCACUAGACAAAGUCUCCUCACUAGCAUGAAAUGAGAAACAAACCUAGCGUAGCAAACACCAAAAACAACCAAUACAAAGAAGACAACCCCAAUUCAAAAACUAACCUCGGUACGACUUGACCAAAGUCCCAACGAAUAUCCCAAUAACAGCAUGUUCCUGACCAAACAGAUGAACCGCCUCAACGUAAACUCAUUUGCACGAUUUCCCCAUAGAACAAGCUUCAUCUCUACACCACUGCAGGCAUACAAUAAAAAGACAUCACCAAUGGUACAUACAAAAAUAAAUAGCCAUGUAUAAAAACCAAUAGAAUUUAACUCCAACGAACAAGCAACAUACCUCAAAUCCUUGAGACCAAUGACUCUGCUAGGUGUAUCAACCGAGUUACUCCCCACCC
rnacentral:lncRNA from 1 species